UAGUGUCUAAUGCUGAUGGCACCAUGACAGUAUUGUCAAUGGAGUUUCCCACAAAAACUAUGGCGAAUACAUCUUUAUUUGCCACAUCGUCUACUGCUUAUUACGUCAUGCCUGUAUUUUGGCAAAUGCCGAAUCUAAAGGUUCCGGGGUGGAAAGAUAGUUCCGGCAGCGGGGUUUGAUGUGUUUACCGUAACCGUGAGAUGCGGGGUGGCCGCCGAAUGAGUAAGGACCAGAAUUAAUUUGUGACGUAUUUGGCUGAUUUUGAUAAACAAGCUGAUGAUGGAGAAGAACCAGACCUGCAAGGCUGAUUUGCUGACAGGAGAGGUAUUAAUGGACUUUGAUGAAGUGGCUGUUUACUUUUCCGAGGAGGAGUGGCACUUUUUAAAUGAAGAGCAAAAACGGCUUUAUAAGGAUGUGAUGAUAGACAAUUAUCUGACUCUCAGAUCUCUAGG